rnacentral:rRNA from 1 species
UACGGAGGGUCCAAGCGUUAUCCGGAAUCAUUGGGUUUAAAGGGUCCGUAGGCGGUUUUGUAAGUCAGUGGUGAAAGCCCAUCGCUCAACGGUGGAACGGCCAUUGAUACUGCAAGACUUGAAUUAUUGGGAAGUAACUAGAAUAUGUAGUGUAGCGGUGAAAUGCUUAGAGAUUACAUGGAAUACCAAUUGCGAAGGCAGGUUACUACUAAUGGAUUGACGCUGAUGGACGAAAGCGUGGGGAGCGAACGGG